ACACAUGCAGUCGAACGGUAACAGGAAUUAGCUUGCUAAUUUGCUGACGAGUGGCGCACGGGUGCGUAACGCGUAUACAAUCUACCUUUUGCUGAGGGAUAGCCCAGAGAAAUUUGGAUUAAUACCUCAUGGUAUUAUUGAUAGGCAUCUAUUAAUAAUUAAAGGUUACGGCAAAAGAUGAGUAUGCGUCCCAUUAGCUAGUUGGCGAGGUAACGGCUCACCAAGGCAACGAUGGGUAGGGGUCCUGAGAGGGAGAUCCCCCACACUGGUACUGAGACACGGACCAGACUCCUACGGGAGGCAGCAGUGAGGAAUAUUGGACAAUGGGCGAGAGCCUGAUCCAGCCAUGCCGCGUGCAGGAAGACUGCCCUAUGGGUUGUAAACUGCUUUUAUACAGGAAGAAUAAGCCUUACGUGUAAGGUGAUGACGGUACUGUAAGAAUAAGGACCGGCUAACUCCGUGCCAGCAGCCGCGGUAAUACGGAGGGUCCGAGCGUUAUCCGGAAUUAUUGGGUUUAAAGGGUCCGUAGGCGGAUGAUUAAGUCAGGGGUGAAAGUUUGCAGCUCAACUGUAAAAUUGCCUUUGAUACUGGUCAUCUUGAGUUGUAUUGAAGUAGGCGGAAUAUGUAGUGUAGCGGUGAAAUGCAUAGAUAUUACAUA
rnacentral:rRNA from 1 species